AACCAGCUCUGAUGAAGGAAUGCAGUAAAAGACAAUAAAAUAAUCAAAUGUCCUAUAAGUUGCUAUGUCAAAGACCUGCCUGAAGAUGGCAAACACGCUCCACAAUAAACAAAAGACAGCACCGUGGUGUUAGGAACACUGGGAAAGCAGUAGUGCUGGUGUCUCAUUAUCAACAGGGAGCCCUAGAGUUAGAGUCAAAUCUUCCCUGUGACCGGGGCACAUGGGAGGAGCCACCCGUGUGCUGAGUUGUGGGAACCUGCCCCGUGCCUUGAAACUGGAAGCACGGCCUUGGCUGUGUCCCACCUGCUAUGGACUGAAUUCUGCCCUCAGAUUCAUGUUGAAACCCUAAUUUUCAGUGUGACUGUAGAAAUAAGAACCUCUAAAGAUGUAAUUGAGGUCGUGGCAGGGGUUGUCCCUGAUCCAGUAGGAUUCGUGAUUUUGUAAGAUCCAGAGACCUCUUCUUUUUCUUCUCUCUCUCUAACCGCCUUCCCCUCUAUGGAAAGGCUGUGUGAAGACAUGGUGAGAAGGUGGCAUCUACAAACCAGGAAGAAAGUCUUUAGCAGAAAAAAAAACUCUUCUGAACGUCGAUCUGGGAUAUUCCAGGCACCAGAAAUGUGAAAAUUAAAUUCUGUGGUUUAUGCCAUCCAGUCCCGUGCUAUGGUGUGAUAGCGGAAGCUGACACAUCCAUCUUCCCCACCCUCUGUGAGCAAGGUCAGCCUCAGGAGGCCAUCGUGGACAUGGGGUCCCAGCUUUGCUCCUCUUCCUCCUGCUUUUCCAACUCUCUGGUGAGGAGGGAGGACUCAAGCUUCAUCAUCACUUUCUGUGCAAUAAACGUGAAUGUUUUUUCAA